GCUGACGAGCGGCGGACGGGUGAGUAAUGCCUGGGAAUAUGCCUUGAUGUGGGGGAUAACUAUUGGAAACGAUAGCUAAUACCGCAUAAUGCCUACGGGCCAAAGAGGGGGAUCUUCGGACCUCUCGCGUCAAGAUUACCCCAGGUGGGAUUAGCUAGUUGGUGGGGUAAUGGCUCACCAAGGCGACGAUCCCUAGCUGGUUUGAGAGGAUGAUCAGCCACACUGGAACUGAGACACGGGCCAGACUCCUACGGGAGGCAGCAGUGGGGAAUAUUGCACAAUGGGGGAAACCCUGAUGCAGCCAUGCCGCGUGUAUGAAGAAGGCCUUCGGGUUGUAAAGUACUUUCAGUUGUGAGGAAGGCGGUAGCGUUAAUAGCGUUGCCGUUUGACGUUAGCAACAGAAGAAGCACCGGCUAACUCCGUGCCAGCAGCCGCGGUAAUACGGAGGGUGCGAGCGUUAAUCGGAAUUACUGGGCGUAAAGCGCAUGCAGGCGGUCUGUUAAGCAAGAUGUGAAAGCCCGGGGCUCAACCUCGGAACAGCAUUUUGAACUGGCAGACUAUAGUCUUGUAGAGGGGGGUAGAAUUUCAGGUGUAGCGGUGAAAUGCGUAGAGAUCUGAAGGAAUACCGGUGGCGAAGGCGGCCCCCUGGACAAAGACUGACGCUCAGAUGCGAGAGCGUGGGGAGCAAACAGGAUUAGAUACCCUGGUAGUCCACGCCGUAAACGAUGUCUACUUGGAGGUUGGGACCUUGAGUCCUGGCUUUCGGAGCUAACGCGUUAAGUAGACCGCCUGGGGAGUACGGUCGCAAGAUUAACACUCAAAUGAAUUGACGGGGGCCCGCACAAGCGGUGCAGCAUGUGGUUUAAUUCCAUGCAACGCGAAUAACCUUACCUACUCUUGACAUCCAUAGAAUUCGCUAGCAGAUAGCUUAGUGCCUUCCGGGAACUCUGAGACAGGUGACUGCAUGGCUGGCCGCCAGCUCGGGUUGUCGAAAAUGUCGGGUUAAGUCC
rnacentral:rRNA from 1 species